rnacentral:snRNA from 1 species
AUGCUUGCUUUGGCAGCACGUAUACCAAAAUUGGAAUGACACAGAAGAUUAGCACGGCCCCUGCGCAAGGAUGACAAUAGUUUUUCUGAGUUGGUAGGGAGGCGGCUCCCCUUAUCU